GAACAUGGAGUAAUGUGCCAAGCGCUGCCCUCCGAAGGCAGAGGUCAGAGGUUCGAAUCCUCUCGGGUGCGCCA
rnacentral:tRNA from 1 species